rnacentral:rRNA from 1 species
UACGAAGGGGGCGAGCGUUGUUCGGAGUUACUGGGCGUAAAGGGCGCGUAGGCGGCGCUCCAAGUUAGGCGUGAAAGCCCCGGGCUCAACCUGGGAAUAGCGCUUAAGACUGGAGUGCUCGAGUGCGGAAGAGGUGAGUGGAAUUCCCAGUGUAGAGGUGAAAUUCGUAGAUAUUCGCAAGAACACCAGUGGCGAAGGCGGCUCACUGGCCCGGUACUGACGCUGAGGUGCGAAAGCGUGGGGAGCAAACAGG